rnacentral:lncRNA from 1 species
GGCGUUUAGUCAGGGCGUCCGUUGCUAUGGAAACCGAAGCAUUGGUAAACGAUAGAAAACUUUCUCCGACAAAUCAAGUCGCAAAUUAUCAAUCAACUAAUGGGAAUGCUUCCAAAUCGGAAAAUUCACCUAAAGAAAACGAAAAUAAAGAAACUGUCAAUACGCCUUAUUCUAUAGAAGUGUCAGAAGGAACGGAAAAUCUUGACAGUUUGCCUGGUAAGUUGAAAUUACACUGCAUAUAACUGUUUUUUAAGUACUGUAUUGUAUUUUGAUACAAUAUUUAAUUUAACGUUUAUCUUUCAUAUAUAAUAUACAUUGUUUACCACAGAUGGCAGUCUUGGUCUAUUUAUAAAAGUACAC